UGAACGCUGGCGGCGUGCCUAACACAUGCAAGUCGAACGUGAAGCUCGUAAUGAGUGCUUCGGUAUGAUUUAUGGGUGGAAAGUGGCGAACGGGUGAGUAACACGUGGGUAAUCUGCCUCGAAGUGGGGGAUAACCAUUAGAAAUGAUGGCUAAUACCGCAUAGUUUUGUCGAUAUGGGAAUAUCGGCAGGUAAAGCUCUGGCGCUUCGAGAGGAGCCUGCGUCCGAUUAGCUAGUUGGUGGGGUAAUGGCCCACCAAGGCGACGAUCGGUAGCUGGUCUGAGAGGACGAUCAGCCACACGGGGACUGAGACACGGCCCCGACUCCUACGGGGGGCAGCAGUGAGGAAUAUUGCACAAUGGGGGCAACCCUGAUGCAGCAACGCCGCGUGGAGGAUGAAGGCCCUUGGGUCGUAAACUCCUUUUUUGGGGGAAGAGCAAGGACGGUACCCCAAGAAUAAGUCACGGCUAACUAC
rnacentral:rRNA from 1 species